CUGAGUUGAUGGAGGCAUAAUAUACCUCCAUCCACUCAGAUCUGCUGUGCAUGAGCAUCCUGUGAUUCAGUAUCUCCUCCCACUAAAUGCAGACAAUGAACUUUCCUCAUAGAGAUUCAUUGAUGCAAUUCAUCUCUAUGAGGAGAUGCUGAUUGGCCAGGGCUGUGUUUGAAUCAUGCUGGCUCUGCCCCUGAUCUGCCUCCUUGUCAGUCUCAGCCAGUCCUACGGGGAAGCACUGUGAUUGGAUCAGGCUAUAACAUGUCAGCAG